UGCUCAAGUGAAGUACAAGUAACUGAAAUGUAUACUUAAGUACAGUACUUGAGUAAAUGUACUUAAUAACCGUCCACCACUAAAAGUAAAGUGGGCAUCUUUCAAAGAAAUUAUGCUCAGAAUAAUUUUUUCUGUCAACAGAAGGUGGCGGUAAUGCGCGCAGAGAUGUUUCCAACCGGCACAAAAUGCUGCAAAUAGACGAAGAAGAAUGCUAACUGGACAAUCCACGUUGAAGUCGGUGGAGAGCAGGGCGGUGAUUUUAAGUUGUGAAAAUAAGAUGGACUCGGUCGUCCAGGUUCCUGUAAAAAGGAACCAGCGUUGAAAUCGAACAAUGAACAUUUGAGGCCGCAGCUCAGCGCAGAUACAUUGGAGGAGAUGACCUGACUCAUCACGGAGGAGCUCCCAUCCGGACUCACACAGACCUCCAUGUGGGGAGCAGUUGUGGAUAUUGGUGGAGAAGCGCAGUACUGCAGGCUCUGUCAUGUGGCUGGUGGUCACACUAGUCCAAACAGAUGGGACUGAUACGACGGACAGAGAGAGGCCCGAGGACGGUCAACUAGUGGCCACUUCUGAUGCAGGAACAUGAGAUAAAAUUGGCAACUCCUUCCCUCCUGCUCCACAUGGGAAAGCGUUAGACGUUCAAUGAUUGUUUAUACUUGAAAGAUGAUGUGAAUGUACUUCACUCUUCUGUUUAUAAUAAUAAACCUGUAACUGUGUUCAAA